rnacentral:rRNA from 1 species
CACGCAGCGAGACACACACGACGAGAGCUUCCAAGUGCUCAUGGUUUUCCAUGGGUGUUUUUCUGCCUUAUAGCGGGGAGAGUAAGGUCUGGGUAAGACGGGUGCCAGCCGCCGCGAUAAUACCCGCAGCCCGAGUGGUGAUCGUUUUUAUUGGGCCUAAAGCGUCCGUAGCCUGUCCAGUAAAUCCUUGGGUAAAUCGGGCAGCUUAACUGCCCGAAUUCCGGGGAGACUGCUGGACUUGGGACUGGGAGAGGUCGGAGGUACUCCGGGGGUAGAGGUGAAAUUCUGUAAUCCUCGGGGGACCACCAGUGGCGAAGGCGUCCGACUUGAACGGGUCCGACGGUGAGGGACGAAGCCCUGGGGCACAAACCGGAUUAGAUACCCGGGUAGUCCAGGGUGUAAACGCUGCGGGCUUGGUGUUGGGGGUCCUACGAGGGCGUCCAGGGCCGGAGAGAAGUUGUUAAGCCCGCCGCCGGGGGAGUACGGUCGCAAGACUGAAACUUAAAGGAAUUGGGGGGGGAGCACCGCAACGGGGGGAGCGGGCGGUUUAAUUGGAUUCAACGCCAAAAAACUCACCGGGGGGCGACUGUUAAAUGAGGGCCAGGCUGAUGACCUUGCCUGAUUUUCGAAAAGGUGGUGCAUGGCCGCGUCCAGUUCGUACCGCAGGGCGUUCUGUUAAGUCAGAAACGAACGAAUCCCCGCCCUUAAUUGCAAUCCCCUCUCUCCGGGGGAGGAACAUUAAGGGACGCUGGCGCUAAGUCAGAGAAGGUGGGGAACGUAGGUCCGUUCCCCGAACCCCCGGCAACACGCGCGCUAAAGAGGCGGGACAAUGGUUCAACCCGAAGGUGCGUUAUCCGAACCGUCAUAGUCAGAUGAGGCUGUAACCCGCCUCAUGAGUGGAUCCGUAGUAAUCGCGGUCAACAUCCGGGUGAUAUGCCCUGCUCUGCACAACGAGGCGAAUCGUUUAACCUGCAGACUGUCUUAGAGGUAUCAGCUGAUAUAUACAAGUGUCUCGCUACAGAACAUUCUCCUCAUAUUCCACUCAUCAGAAGA